GCUGCCGGGCGCCUCCCACUCCUCCCAGCCUCAUUUAAAUACAUGUGUCCACCCUGAGUCCACCUGAGCAUCGCGAUGACACCCCUGGGGACAUGAAGUGAUGAGUGUCUCAGCACACUGUUCCUUGUGGCGGCGUGUUGCAACCUCCAGCGCAUCUGAAGUUGACCGCCCGUGACCGCCCGCCGACCUUGCUCAGCCCAUGCAGUGUGUGUGGGCGUGGGCGUGUGUGUGUGUAUGUUGGUGGGUGGAGGGACUGGCCGCCUCACUCCCUCUGCCCUCCACGCUGGCUUUUCUUUUAUUGUUGUAAAGUUUGUGUGUUGUGUGUUUGCCUUCGUUAUAAGAGAUGUAAUUAGUGUGAACUUCUUCGUGUUUUAUUUUUUUUUUCUCUUUCUUGCUCUUUUUUAUUGAUUUAUUCAUUAUGGGAAGUAAAGUGUAUGUUUGUGUGUUUGUUUGUUUUUUUAUGGGGUUGGCAAUUACUGUCGUCUUUUUUCCGUUUU